UUAUGCUGGAGAGUCCAGGAAAUCGUGGAAUGUAAUGUUCAUUGCAUGGUACUCCCUCUGUUUCUAAAUACAAGUCUUUUUAGAGAUUUCAAUAUGGGAUGUAAUGUUCAUUAUAUUCACUCAUUUUGCACCGUAUGUAGUCCAUAUUGAAAUCUCUAAAAAGACUUGCAUUUAGCAAUUAUCGUGGUGCUUGCUUUGCUUCAUGUCUGAUGAAAUAUUUUGCCGCAGAAUGGCAGGUUAAUUGGGUAUUUCUCUUAUCUUUCUGCUGAUGUUAUUGUUCUUGAAUGCCACACUGCUAUUUCAAUUAACUAGACUUGAUGAAAAAGUUGAGCUUUUUGCAUUCUACUACUCACAGUGCGUUCUGCUUGUGUCCUUUUCUCAUCUUUCUGCAGAUGUUAUUGUUACGGAACGCUAUACGGCUAUUUUAAGUAACUAGAGUUGAUGAGAAACUUGAGCCUUUUUGCAUUCUGAUAGUUUAACAACAAUGCAUUGCUAACUCACAAUGGAAUGCUCUACUGUUAUUUCGAAUAACUUGAGUACAUUGCAUCCUGCUAUUGAAGAAUGCAUUUGGAUCACCGUUAUUUUUGCACUUGUCCAUAUAUGCUUUAUCCGUUGAUGAUAUUCUUGCCUAUUUCUAUCCUGGCAGCUUGCUAGUGCUGGCAUAUGCAUCCUAGUGUACUACUUCUUCACAUGUAGGACGUUUUUGCAGAUUGGUGUACAUUGGCACUCUUCAGGUUCUAUUUUAGUGUGUGUGUUCACUCAAUUUAGGUCUGUAUGCUGUCCAUAAUAAAAUAUCAAAAACAUGUUAUAUUUAUGAACGGAGGGAGUAGAUGAAUUGGGUAUUUCUCUGAUUUUUCUGCCAAUUAUAUUGUUACGGAACGCUAUACUGCUAUUUUGAAUAACUUCAGUUGAUGAAAAAGCUGAGCUUUUUGCAUGCUAGUAUUGCACUGUGCAUUCUACUUGGGUGCCUUUCUGAUCCUUCCGCAUAUGUUAUUACUACAGAGUGCUGUACUGCUAAUUCUGAUGACUAGAGUUGAUGAGAAACUUGAGCCUUUUUGCAUUCUGAUAAUUUAACAACAAUGCAUCGCUACUCACAAUGGAAUGCUCUAGUGUUGUUUCGAAUAACUUGAAUUCAUCGGAAAGUUAAACUUAUUGCAUUCUGCUAUUGAACCAUGCAUCUCAUAGUUAUGCUUGCACUUAUCCCUAUAUCCUUUAUACAGUUAUGAUAUUCUUGCCUAUUCCAUUCGACCUAGCUUGUGGGUGUCAGACUCAAUAAUAUGUUUGUGUGCGUUUACAUUAUGCUGGAGAGUCCAGGACAUUGUGGAAUGUAAUGUUCAUUGUAGAGUAAUUUCGCUAGGUUAUCUUGGUGCUUCCUUGGCCUCUCUUGUGGUGAAAUAUUUGGCCGCAGAAUGAUAGGUUAAUUGGGCAUUUCCCUCAUCCUAUUGCAGAUGCUAUUGUUACACAAGACUUGUUACUGCUAUUAUGAAUAACAAGAGAUGAUGAAAAAGUUGGGCUUUUUGCAUUCUAUUCUAGGUCCUUUUUUGAUCUUUCUGCACAUGUUACCGUCACAGAAUGCUCUACUGCUAUUUCAAAUAACUAGCGUUGAUAAAAAAAAAGUUUGAGCUUUUUGCAUUCUAGUAUUGCACAAUGCAUUCUCCUUGGGUUCUUUUCUGAUCCUUCUGUACAUGUCAUUGCUACAGAAUGUUGUGCUGCUCAUUCUGAGAAACUUGAGCUGUUUGCUUUUUGGUAUUUUUAUUUUAACAAUGUGUUGCUACUCACACUAGGAUGAUGUACUGUUAUUUGGAAUAACUUGAAUUCAUCAGAAAGUUGAGCUUAUUGCAUUCUGCUAUCGAACAAUGCAUUGCUACUCACACUAGGAUGCUGUAUUGUUAUUUGGAAUAACUUGAAUUCGUCAGAAAGUUGAGCUUAUUGCAUUCUGCUAUCGAACAAUGCAUUUGAAUCAUGGUUAUAUUUGCACUUGUCCAUAGAUUCUUAAUUCGGUUAAGAUAUAUUACCUCCGUCCCAAAAGGCUUGUCUCAGAUUUAUCUAGAUACAGAUGUAUCUAGAGUUCUAGACACUAAAACAAGUAAUUCGGGACGGAGGGAGUACUUGCCUAUUUCGAUCCUGGCAGCUUGCUAGUGGUGGCAUAUGCAUCCUAGUGCAUAUUGGCGCUCUUCCAGAUUUUAUUGUUACUGGAUUGGUGUACAGCUUUCAAGUAACUUGAUGAAAAAUUUGAGCCUUUUCCAUUCACUUCUUUCUUCAGAUGUUAGCACUGGUAUUUUGUACCGCUGUUUCCGUUAUUAGUGGGGCAAAACUGAUCGUUUUGCAUUAUUGAGUUAUUUUGCUUUUCUCCAUACAUUCUUUAUAUAUGAUAUUCUUGCCUAUUUCAAUCCUGGCAUCUCACUAGUAUCGGCAUAUGCAUCCUGGUGUACAGUAAUAUCUACAGGAAUGCUAUAUUGCUAUUUCAAAUAACUUGAUGAAAACUUGAGUUGUUUGCGUUCAGUAUUGCACAGUGCACUCAGAUGUUAUUAUCACAGAAAUUUUUGUGCUGCUGUUCCUAUAUUGAUGAAAAGUUGAGCUUUGUGCAUUUUGGUAUUGCAAAGAUAAUAAUACAUGUGGGUCACAGCACAGGGUUGUUUAUCAUUUUUCCCUACUAGUAAGAUGCGCACGGAACACCAGGAUGCAUUGAUACAGGAGUAGUUUAUUUGACAAAAAAUGUGGAGGGUCCUCUCAACUAUUAAAAAAAUCCAUAUCUUAUUCAGAUAUUCAGUUAUGUUGCUGAGCUCAUAAGUAUCAGGGGUAUAGUGAAUACAAAUGAAAAUAGGCAAGCACGUUCAAGUGUUUUAUCUGUAUGCAAAAUUCAUGAAAUGUAGCACACAGCUAGAACAGUCCAACAUGUUUGUUUCUAAAACAUUAAGACUUCAUUGAAUUUUAUUGCAAUUAUUUGAGCUCAGGAGCCAAGUUCAUAUCUCAUCUUCUUCUAUUUCGGCAGUAAUCGGGUAAAUGAUAUAGAAUUAAAGUCUAAUGGGUAAGGACACUAUUGUUGCUCUAGCCCCUUCCCUUCCCUAUCUGGAUCCUACUCCACGGCUGUAAGAAAACACAACUUUUCCUCAAAAAAGACUUUGCGCGACUUUCUCCAGUAAAAGCUUCACCUCUGUCAUGUUUGCUCUGUAGUUGCACUUCAACGUCUCCUAACUCAUACUCUUUGUAUUGUAAAGAAAAAACUCCAUGCUUCGUCAGCUCCUCCAGAUACUUAUAAUUGUGCAUCAAGCCUGUAACCUUUGCAUGAAUAAUUACAACAUAUACAAAAAUAUAACAUCUGUAAUGAUUGCCAUAUGUUGCAUCUCUUUCCACAUGGGAUUUUCUCUCGACCUUGUGUUGCCUCCCCUGUGCACAUGGUGUCCCAUCUCACAAUCGUAGAUACAUGUUGUGAAUUAGUAACAAUUCUUGUUUCACAUAUCAGAUGGAUAUUACAAAGUUGCGACUUAUUUCUACAUUUCACUGUCAAUUAGCACAUCCAGGCACAAAUCUUCUGCAAGUGGAUGCUCAUCAUAAAUUAACAACAUACUUGAGUUGCGGGUUUGAACUUCUAACUGCAAUUGCAAGCUAAAAAUUGAAUUGUAUAGCAAACAGACCUUUUCUCGGCAUACAUCACAUUUUCAUGUAUCCGUACAAAUUCUGACUCAAGCUGUAGCUUGAACAUUAUCUUUGCAGGGCUCAGGCGGCUCCUGACCAUCUACAGCUUGAAAGACUAAUUCACAAGGAGGAAGACUGAAAGUACUUGUACUGAUCUACACAUAUGUUUACAAGAUUAUAUGGCGUAUAUUAUCUCUGUUGCUGUCGAUGUCGACAUCAAGGUUGAUGCCAGAGGAGAGGCACUGAAGGAAUGCACGCCAGCGGGCGCAUCAGACUCCUUACAUUGGCUUCACAAUCGCAAGACAUGUGAGCGUUGGAGCCGAUAACUACAAAAUUUGAAAGAUAAGAAGAUUGUGCUAAUGCCAGAUCUCCGAAAUUACCAGGACGACGAGCAUUCUCCAAUACAUAUUAUCAUAUCCAUCCUUAAUAGAACUGCUCCUUUCCUUGGAACAGCUGUAGAAGACAAAAUAAUAUAUUAUGCUACCUUUCUUCCAAGUAUUCAACAUUGCUCAUUGUGUGCCAGUAUAUUAGGCACACCAAACUUAAAUGAGAAGAUAAAUGGCAGCAA